rnacentral:sRNA from 1 species
AAUUGCUUGACAUUCAGGGAUUAGAUACAAGUGUUCGCUCAAGUACUAAAGGCUGCAUUCCUCGAAAUCCUAGAAAGACAGAGCUGGGAGGGGAGAUGAGGCUGCAAACCAUGCACUCAUUCUUAGUCAUAAGAAGACGUGGAGGACAUGACAUGGAUACUGCCUGGUGUACAGAGAUGGUUGAUGGCCUGCUUUGUCAGUGUCUUUGUCCUUUUUAUUUAAAUAGGUUAAACAGUGCACCAGUUGAGGGAUAUUCAGAACAUGUUGGAAAUAAAACUACUAUAAGGAUGACUUAUCCAGAGGGCGCACCACUGUCUGACCUUGAAUAUUAUUCCAAUGACUUAUUUGUUGCUGUUUUAUUUAAGAGUGUUGAUUUCAACUGGCUUCAAGCAAUGGUAAAAAAUGAAACCCUGCCAUUCUGGGUACGACUCUUCUUUUGGAAGCAGGUGGCAGAAAAAAUCCCACUGCAGCCAAAACAUUUCAGGAUUUUGAAUCCAGUUAUCAUCAAAGAGACUGCCUUUGACAUCCUUCAGUACUCAGAGCCUCAGUCAAGGUUCUGGG